rnacentral:rRNA from 1 species
CCGGAUCUUAUUGGGCCCUUUACGAGCAGGGCUACACACGUGCUACAAUGGCCGGUACAAAGGGUUGCGAAGCGGCGACGUGAAGCCAAUCCCAGAAAGCCGGCCUCAGUCCGGAUCGGAGUCUGCAACUCGACUCCGUGAAGUCGGAAUCGCUAGUAAUCGUGGAUCAGAAUGCCACGGUGAAUACGUUCCCGGGCCUUGUACACACCGCCCGUCACACCAUGGGAGUGGACUGCACCAGAAGUGGUUAGCUUAACCUUCGGGAGAGCGAUCACCACGGUGUGGUUCAUGACUGGGGUGAAGUCGUAACAAGGUAGCCGUAGGGGAACCUGCGGUUGGAUCACCUCCUCA